GCCGGGGUGGUGGAAUAGGUAGACACACUAGCUUGAGGAGCUAGCGGACGUUUUGUCUAUGUGAGUUCAAGUCUCGCCUCCGGCACCA
rnacentral:tRNA from 1 species